GAUUUUGCCUUGGUUGUUGUCUCCGAAGGUGACGUACCCUUCUUCUUUGCUAGUGAGCAUAGAGAAAUGAGAUGGAUCUCCAGUCAUAUGUCUUGAGCAUCCACUAUCUAGAUACCAUCUCUUGCUCCUAGCUUGUGAUGGUGUAUGUUUCUACAAGAAGGGAUUAUUUUUAGGUACCCAUUUUCUUUUGGGUGCCUUAAAAACUGAUUUGACUUGUUCAUCAU
rnacentral:lncRNA from 1 species